UGGAGAGUUUGAUCCUGGCUCAGAUUGAUACCGCUGGCGGCAGGCCUAACACAUGCAAGUCGAGCGGCAGCACGGGUACUUGUACCUGGUGGCGAGCGGCGGACGGGUGAGUAAUGCCUAGGAAUCUGCCUAGUAGUGGGGGAUAACGUCCGGAAACGGGCGCUAAUACCGCAUACGUCCUACGGGAGAAAGUGGGGGAUCUUCGGACCUCACGCUAUUAGAUGAGCCUAGGUCGGAUUAGCUAGUUGGUGAGGUAAUGGCUCACCAAGGCGACGAUCCGUAACUGGUCUGAGAGGAUGAUCAGUCACACUGGAACUGAGACACGGUCCAGACUCCUACGGGAGGCAGCAGUGGGGAAUAUUGGACAAUGGGCGAAAGCCUGAUCCAGCCAUGCCGCGUGUGUGAAGAAGGUCUUCGGAUUGUAAAGCACUUUAAGUUGGGAGGAAGGGCAGUUACCUAAUACGUGAUUGUUUUGACGUUACCGACAGAAUAAGCACCGGCGAACUCUGUGCCAGCAGCCGCGGUA
rnacentral:rRNA from 1 species